UAAAUUUUUUUUAAUUCCACUUGUGAAGCUCAUGAAUCAAAAGAGGGACAAAUGUAAACACCUCAUUUUGUACACCUUAUGACUCGAGCCUAUGUUCCCCAAUGACGAUAAUACUAGGUAGGGCCUAACCAAAGAAACUCUUUAGUUGAAGGAUGUUUUUGGAAGAAAGAAAAACAUUACAGAAACCCUAAGGGUGCGUACGCAUCCUAAACCUAUGUGUAAACAACCACGAGCAUGCGUACGCAUCUAGGGUUUCAGAAAGUUAUGUAAGACAAGUUUUAAUGGAAAAUGCGGCAAAGCUUGAUGAUGCACGAAAAUCAGUAGGCUGGAAUGCUUCGAACUAUGAUGAUGGUUGUUAAUCUUGAAAAGAAAGAAAGAACUAUCAAAGGUGACCGAUGUGACCCAAUCAAGGACCCUCUGACGGUUAAGUCAGUUUUCUCUUUAGGACACAAGGAUAGGAGAUAGUAAAUGGUCAGAACUUACCUUUGGUAGAUGGGGCCUAUUCCUUUUUAUAGAGACUUUGACGUGGGUCUACUUGUUUGGGACCUAUCACCAUCGUGGGUGAUAUUGGUGGUUAAUGAGGAAAAUGAGAUAUGUGGAACGAAGUGUAUGGAAUUCCUUCCACGUGUUAAGCAAUGUGUCAUGUUUUACUUAUGUAGAACCUUUGGAGAAUUUCUUGUAGAAUUUACCUAGUAAAAUUUUAUCAUCCAUGCGUAUGGCUGUCUAAAUCAACUCGUCCAUGAAGAACUCCCUUCAUCGUAUCACUUGGUUAUUAACAAAUGUGUAUGUUCUCAUUCUCAUAUGACUUGGUAUAGGCAUAGCUAAACUUUGGACGACAACAAAAGGACGAGUAAUACUUGUGUUGAUCCUUAUCAGUUGCCUCCUUGUCCUUGUGUUGUUUGUCAAUACUACUCUUGUCCUUUUUUUAUUUAUUUAUUUAUUGAAUUCUGUCUUUGAUUAUUGACACAUGGUACAAUCUUAAGGUUCAUCCAUCAUGUCGUUUCAUCCUUCAAGAAAAGUACCACAUGGUUUCUUUUAGUUGGUCACGUUGCUUCAGUUGACCAAGCCUAUCACUUAUAAAUAGUAGAAUUCCUUUCCUGCCUCCUCACAUUUCUCAAAUUUUCUUCUCUGACCUCUGUCAUCUAGUGCCUCGUCUAGAAGUCCUUCUCCGUCUUUAGGCCCCCUUCUUUUAGAGCCUGGUACCCUUUCCAUCUCGUCUUUAGGUUUUCCUUCAGCUUUUCACAAUGUUUGAAAUUGUAGUAUCCUCGUCUAGUAAUAGUGACAAUAGGGAGAUAGAUGAGCAUACCACCCUGACGGGCGUUGGUGUCGGUUGUGCCUUGGCAUGAUAUGACACUAGUAACCCGAUCACGCUUCAGUUCUUUUGGUAGGGAACUGAGGAAGUGACCUUAAGCUAUAAGUGCCACCUCAUGAUAGUUCUAAUAGAAGCUCCAAUGAUAGUAGUAGUAGUAGUGGAGGAAAUACGACGAACGAGCAACACACGUCCGGAGUUCCUAGGGUCCCAUUGGAGGUUCUCUAGGAGGAGUUAAGGACGAGAGUGGCUUCUGGGUCACAGACUGGCACGUCUGCAAAUUCCCCUUCGUCCUUUUUUGGUGAGGAGGAGACUAUGUUUAAUUGUACAAUUGGGGUCUCCUCCAAAACGGAUGAAAAAAGACUUACAUCACCUAGGAGUUGGUACCAAAUCCCAGACAACCUUAAUCCUAGAUUGUUCGUCUGUGGUGAAUGGUGCUGUGAACCUUGUUUUGGAGUAGGUAUUUACGAGGCUUACCUUUUGGGGGGACUUAGGUUGCCUCUCAAUGCCUUCGUCAAAGAGUUACUUACUAGGUUAGGUUUAAGAGUUUGUCAGCUUAACCCCAAUGCAUGGAGGCUCAUAUGCAGAUUUUGUGGAGGGAAUUAUUUGAGGGGGAUCAUCCUUUUAUUGUGAACGAGUUCCUCUAUUGCUACAAGCCUUCUGAAAUUAGUCAAUCCUUGGGCUUUUAUCAAUUCUCAGCUAGGGGUAUAGAUUGUAGAUUGAUUAAGUCCCUCCCCAUGUCUGAUAGGAAUUGGAAGACGGGGUUCUUCUUUGUCUCUGCUUUUUGGGCUGGGAACCCUAUCGAGGUAGGCAGGGAUCCAUUUCCUCUCUAUACUGGCAAGGUAGGGAAUCUUCGUCCAGAAGCUGUAAGACGACCUUCUCUGAGCAGAUUCUAUCUUGAUCGCGUCCAACAAGCUCAUCUAUUCACUGAUAGAAGCUUCCAUUCUUUAGUCAUUUUUUAGCGUCUUGCCACUUGGGGAAUUGGGCUUGAACCAUCUAUUGAAGCCUUAGCUCAUGAACUCACUACACGUAGACGGAUAGCAACUAUGAAAGAAAACAAGGGAAAAGGCUUGGCAGACGAGGAGACCAUGCCAAAGACCUAAUCUCAGCCUCGUCUAGUUGUUGGAGAUAAAAGGAAGACUUUAUCCAAGACGAUUGACUUAGGAAGUCUUCCAAGUUGUCUAGGUCACAAGAAGGCAAAGCAUGGGUCGUCUAAGUUUGUCAAGCCUAGUUCUGUUGUUCCUCCUGCUUCUUCCAAACAGCCGUCCACACAAAUCCUUGACUUGGAUUCAUCCAUCCUUGCUGAAACUACUCCGUCCAAGCUUGUUGAAACUAUUUUGUCCAAACCGCCCAGAAGCAUUCCUAUGAAUCUUCUUGAAAAUGAAGGUCUUGCUUGGGAAAGGUUUCAACAGGCUGUGACCGACGAGGACAUUAAUGUGUGCUAUGACAUGUCCUUGAAAGACUUUGAACAUUCUGUAGUUCAUGAUCUCUUCAAGUCAUGUCAAAGUUCAUAGCAGCGUCCAGAUAGGCUAUUGAGGCGGACCAGGAAAGAAUUAGGUUGAGGGCCAAAAUCCGUGAUAUGGAGAAGGAGUCAAGCCGUAAGACAGGGGAGAGGAUGAAGCUUGAGGCUGAGGUGGUGGAACUGAAGAACUUGGCAGAGGAGUUAAGGGCAGACAUAGUGGAAAAGGACACUCGUUUGGAUCAUCUGCAGAAGCAAAAUGAAGAGCUUAGAUCGUCCUUUGAACGAGCCAAAGACGAAGUGAUCAAGGAAUUCAAGCUGUCCAAAGCAUAUACUGAUCUUCUAGAUACAAAUUAUGCUGCGGGCUUCGAAGAUUUCCGUAUGGACGUGAUGAAGCGUUUUCCUGAGGUGGACUUUUCCCCUAUUAAGCUUAAUAUUGGUGUUACAAGUUCUCUCCUCCAAAAGAGUUUUGAAGAUGUCAACAUUGAAGACAAUGCUACAACCCAGCCUGCUCAUAACGACCCUACCUUUGGAGAAAAACCCCCUUAGUAGUUAAUGAAAAAUUUUCAAACUUUUCUAUUUUAUUGUAAUUUUUAUGUGAUCUGUUGUUUUGGAUCAUUUGAAUUUAUUUAAGUACAUUUGGCUCGUUUUUACUUUUUAGACAAGUCUUGAUACAAUUGCCUUUUAGGCUUAAGGGUUUUUGGACGAUAGUUGUCUACCCUUUUUAUUUAUGAAUGUUUUUAUCUA